CAGACACACACAAACUGAGAGAAACGAAAAUUUGAACCUGACCUAAAGGCAUAGUAUGGGUUUAGCCACGUCUCUAAUAUGGGUUAUAACCUGAGCAGAAAAUAAUCAGCCGAUCAUGCUUCAACAAAUGAAAAAGCAGAGCCUGAAGAGGUACUGAAGGCAUUAUAGUUACUUGGUCAUUACAGAGAGCUGAGAGAAAAUCCCAAACGUCCUCAGGAUCUUGUUUUACAUGGAGAGACACUAUAGUAAACAUCUGAAGUAAAUAAGAAACUAUCAUUACAUGUGGAAAACCAUGAUGAAAAUGCAUGCCUAGUGAGAGGAAAAACAAUGAAAACCAUUAUUGAAUGUCUCUUCUGUGACAUAUUGAAGAAGCAGAGCAGUGUCCCCAGAGGGCAUGGAGGGCCAGCCCUGGGGAGACAAGAGGAAGAGGCAGCCCUUAUGGACCAGCUAAGAGUAGUUAAAUCUGCUUCCUGUCAUCGGUGGCAUCAUCUAGGAGAUAACAGAUAAGAGUUUUAUGAUAUAAAUUCAGCUUGCUCUCUGUUCUCCAUAUUGCUGAAUUCCAUAUUGCUUUUCUUAAAUAACAUGCUCCAGUCAUGGGAGUUUGUCCAAAUCUCUUUGCAGACCAGGGCCUAGCUGGUGGCUUUGCCGCAAGCCCUGACAAAGCAAGUAACGAUGUUUACUUCAUAGCAAACCAAGGAUCAAAUACAUUGACUUUGUGUGCUCCAUUCCUUCUCUCCUCCUUCUUCAGAGACAGUAUGCAUAGCCCAGCUUGCACUGGUGAGUGGCGAGGGUAGGUAGAGUGUCCCAGACUGCACUUAAGGCACCACAGUCUCACAUUCUCAAGAACUUCAUCACAGAGCACACAACAAAGUCCUACUUCAAUUUUCAAUUGCAUGGAUUACAUUUCAAUUGCAACAUCUCUAGCUUAGCAAACCUCAGAUUUACAUGGCUGGAGCUAGGAGUGCUCCGUUUGGGCCUCUGAUGAGACUGCUCAGGGGGUCAUCUGAAAGCACAAUCCAAGUGACUUUGGAGAGGCUCUCACACCAUCUCUCUUUUUUUCCUGGCCACAUAUUUUCUUGAA